UGGGGUUGUGGCUCGGUGGUAGAGCAUUUGCCUAGCACACAUGAGACACUGGGUUCGAUUCUCAGUACUAA
rnacentral:tRNA from 1 species